rnacentral:rRNA from 1 species
UACGGAGGGUGCAAGCGUUAUCCGGAUUCACUGGGUUUAAAGGGUGCGUAGGUGGGCAGGUAAGUCAGUGGUGAAAUCUCCGGGCUUAACCCGGAACUGCCGUUGAUACUAUUUGUCUUGAAUGUUGUGGAGGUAAGCGGAAUAUGUCAUGUAGCGGUGAAAAUGCUUAGAUAUGACAUAGAACACCAAUUGCGAAGGCAGCUUACUACACAACGAUUGACACUGAGGCACGAAAGCGUGGGGAUCAAACAGG